GACGAACGCUGGCGGCGUGCCUAAUACAUGCAAGUCGAGCGAAGUUUUUCUGGUGCUUGCACUAGAAAAACUUAGCGGCGAACGGGUGAGUAACACGUAAAGAACCUGCCUCAUAGACUGGGACAACUAUUGGAAACGAUAGCUAAUACCGGAUAACAGUAUUUCUCGCAUGAGAGAUAUUUAAAAGUUGGUUAUGCUAACACUAUGAGAUGGCUUUGCGGUGCAUUAGCUAGUUGGUGGGGUAAAGGCCCACCAAGGCGACGAUGCAUAGCCGACCUGAGAGGGUGAUCGGCCACACUGGGACUGAGACACGGCCCAGACUCCUACGGGAGGCAGCAGUAGGGAAUCUUCCGCAAUGGGCGAAAGCCUGACGGAGCAACGCCGCGUGAGUGAAGAAGGAUUUCGGUUCGUAAAGCUCUGUUGUUAGGGAAGAAUGGAUAUGUAGUAACUAUACAUAUAAGAGACGGUACCUAACCAGAAAGCCACGGCUAACUACGUGCCAGCAGCCGCGGUAAUACGUAGGUGGCAAGCGUUGUCCGGAAUUAUUGGGCGUAAAGCGCGCGCAGGUGGUUUAAUAAGUCUGAUGUGAAAGCCCACGGCUCAACCGUGGAGGGUCAUUGGAAACUGUUAAACUUGAGUGCAGGAGAGAAAAAUGGAAUUCCUAGUGUAGCGUGAAAUGCUUAGAGAUUAGGAGGAACACCAUUGGCGAUGUGCGGCUUUUUGGGCCUGUACUGACACGGAGGCGCGAAGCGUGGGGAUGCAAUCGGGAUAGAUACGCUAGUAGUCCAAGGUGGACUUCCACAUUGUGUAUCAGCUCACCAUGCCGCCGACCUCUGCGAAGAAACUACAAAUACAAUAAUUUGUUCCUGUAGUGUGGUUUGGUACUUCUCCUUGCCUGCUCCCUUCCCCCUGUGCUGUGACUGCCUGCUUGUGCUGUGUGUGCUUACUGUGGCUACUAAUGCUGUUACUCAUACCCUUAUCAUCAGCAACUACCCCCUACCGUGACCUUGUUACUGGCUUGUGUGCUGUGCCUGUAAUAUUUUCUUUUUCUGCUUGCCGUGUGUGUGCCUGCUACUGUAGGCUGUGCUCUGUUGUCUCCAUCUGCUGCUGUGCUGCUAUCUGAGUACGUGACCGUGCUGUUGCCUAUGCUGCCUCUAGAUUGCCCUGACUAUCCUCUACUACUCAGUCCUGAUUUUCUAGUUAGCCCAUGCUCCAUUUAUACUCAUUUACUUUACCUGUUCCCCCAUAUGUGUCUUGCAUAUAUUUUU
rnacentral:rRNA from 1 species